UUCCGGUUGAUCCUGCCGGAGAUCACUGCUAUUGGGAUUCGACUAAGCCAUGCGAGUCGAGAGGGUUCGGCCCUCGGCUGACGGCUCAGUAACACGUGGAUAAUCUGCCCUUAGGUGGAGGAUAAUCUCGGGAAACUGAGGAUAAUACUCCAUAGAUCUAGGAUGUUGGAAUGCAUCUAGAUUGAAAGCUCCGGCGCCUAAGGAUGAGUCUGCGGGCUAUCAGGUUGUAGUCAGGGUAAAGACCUGACUAGCCUACGACGGAUACGGGUUGUGAGAGCAAUAACCCGGAGACGAUAUCUGAGACACGAUAUCGGGCCCUACGGGGCGCAGCAGGCGCGAAAACUUCACACUGUGCGAAAGCGCGAUGAGGGAAUCCCAAGUGUUUGCUCGUAAGAGUAAACUGUUUCUUUGUUUAAAACGCAGAGAGAGUAAGGGCUGGGUAAGACGGGUGCCAGCCGCCGCGGUAAUACCUGCAGCUCGAGUGGUGAUCAUUAUUAUUGGGCCUAAAACGUCCGUAGCCGGUUUAGUAAAUGCCUGGGUAAAUCGUGUAGCUUAACUAUACGACUUCCGGGUAGACUGCUAAACUUGAGACCGGGAGAGGCUAGAGGUACUCCUGGGGUAGAGGUGAAAUUCUGUAAUCCUAGGGGGACCACCAGUGGCGAAGGCGUCUAGCUAGAACGGGUCUGACGGUGAGGGACGAAGCCCUGGGGCACAAACCGGAUUAGAUACCCGGGUAGUCCAGGGUGUAAACGCUGCUUGCUUGAUGUUAGUUGGGCUCCGAGCCCAACUAGUGUCGGAGAGAAGUUGUUAAGCAAGCUGCCUGGGAAGUACGGUCGCGAGGCUGAAACUUAAAGGAAUUGGCGGGGGAGCACAGCAACGGGUGGAGCGUGCGGUUUAAUUGGAUUCAACGCCGGG
rnacentral:rRNA from 1 species